rnacentral:rRNA from 1 species
CAAUAGCGUAUAUUAAAGUUGUUGCAGUUAAAAAGCUCGUAGUUGGAUUUGUGGCGUACGGUGUGUUCCGGGCACUUGUUGUCUGAGUAACCUGCUGUUGCCAUCCUUGGGUGGAACCUGUGUGGCAUUAGGUUGUCGUGCAGGGGAUGCCCAUCAUUUACUGUGAAAAAAUUAGAGUGUUCAAAGCAGGCUUAUGCCGUUGAAUAUAUUAGCAUGGAAUAAUGAGAUAGGACUUUUUUGCUAUUUUGUUGGUUUGCGCAAAGAGGUAAUGAUUAAGAGGGACAGUUGGGGGUAUUCGUAUUCCAUUGUCAGAGGUGAAAUUCUUGGAUUUUUGGAAGACGAACUACUGCGAAAGCAUUUACCAAGGAUGUUUUCAUUAA